GAUUAUAUUAAUAUAUUUUGUCGUGAUAAACCAUCCUGAAUUUCUGUAUUGCAUGCAUUUGACUUGAUAAUAUUUUAUUUAGAAUGUCUGCAUGUGUCUUCUUGAAGGAUAUUGCACUACAACUUAACCUUGCGUCCGUGUUCAUGUUGGUAUUUUCUUUCUAGGUUUUUCUCACCCCAUAAAAUAUGUUAUAGAGUAGUCCAUCUAUUUCUCCUCCAUGGAAGAGUUCAUCUGGUAGAUUGGACUACCACUUUUCCUUGUGGAGACCUAUUCUGUUGGGUUAGAGAUGACAGAAAAUCUUAUUUGUCGGUUGGUUUGUUUGUUCAAGAAUACACUGACCUUCUACAAGAAAGGAGAGCUCUUUGACACCUGGAAAUAGUAAAAGACAAGCUUCUGUGGAAAGGGCAACAAACACUAUCACCCUCAGACCAGAGGUGAACAUCCUUUGCAGCAAGGUGAAAGAGACACAAAACACCCUCUGCCCUUGAAGGAGAGACAGGAGAUGCCUCUGUUGGCUUCUCUGCUGCUUAACAGAAGUCAUGAGAUGCCUGGCCCAUAUUACCAAAUGCCUGACUUAAGAAAAAAAAUGUAAACAAAAGACAGAGAUUGGAAGCAUCAGAAUUUUAUUCCAGUGACUCAAUCCCCAUUGUGUGAAGUAGACCAGAAUGAAUAAAUUGAACUUACUCAGCACCUCAAUUAUUAAAUGUAUCCACAGAAAUUCAUUCUGUCAAGUUAACUGUGGAGGUUGUUGUUGCUAUUGCAGACUAAAUGGUUUUCCUGGGAACUCUGACUCUGGCCACAAGAUGAAGACUGACAAAUUUCCUUUCUCUGUUUAUGGAGGGAGACUUCACAACAUUCACUGAAAGAGGAGCAAAGGACCUGGUUUUUGCCAUGACUGGCUUUGGCCCUGUGAAUGAAUGUUUUUCUGGCAUUGGAAAGCAGAUAGCAAAGAGAGCAGAACCACAAAUGGGCUAUGAGGAAAUGUGUUCAAUGAAGAAAACAAAAUCUCUGACAAGAUCCAACAUAGGACAACAUCUCAGCAUCUUCUGUGAUUUGUGAACCCAAGCAAAGCACUUCUUAGAGUUAUCUGGCACAUUCGCAACUAAUAGCUUUCCAUGAAUAAAUACUGUGGCAACCACAUUAACUGUACAAAAACAAACUGCUUAUUUCUUAUAUCCGUGCUGGAAGAUUAUCUGGCUGGCCUAUCAGCUGUGAUGUCAGGAAUGUCAGCCAGUUAUCCUAUGGUGCAUUCAGCUGGGUCAUUGUACCCCAUCAGUGAGGCAAUUGCAAAGUUCCAUCUGGACAGAGGUAGAAAAAAUUAUAUUCACUUUGAGUUUUGGAUUUUUUUCUCUUAAUUUUCAAAGAUAAAGACAAUUGCUUUUGGCUUUUAAGAGACACAUCUGGUAUGCCUUGGGCUGGAUGCCAGAUAUUUCUGCUGUUGAGUUUUUAUAACAUUGUAUAGGCCUCAAUAUUUUAGAAUUAGUAUAUGUUUGAUAAAAGUGACUUUUCUAAAGUUUUAGGGAGAAUCUUUUGCUUAGGUGCAGCUGAGUAUUUUUAGUUCAAUACUGCAGAUGGCAUACCAAAUUUAAGAGGAGUUGAGUGACUGCUUCAAGGUUGCACAGCUAGUUCUUGGUAGAUCUGGAAAAGGACCAACAUCUCUUGGCCCUUUGUCAGAUAUUCUUUCUUUGAUUUCACACUGUUUUUAAAGAUGUUUAAUACAUUUUAAAUUAAAAUGGUUAUUUGAAUCUGCUUAAACUAGACAAUACUAAUUGUCAAACAUCCAUUACCCGCUUUUUCUCUAGUAAUAGGUUGGUGCAAAAAGAGUUGCGGUUUUUGCCAUUACUUUUAAUGGCAAAAACCUUAGUUCCUUUUGCACCAGCCUAAUAAUAAAACCCCUAAUUUUAACUUGGCACGUGGCCAACCAGAAUAGAAACUACAUGUUCCUGCUUUGCUUUCAGUAGCAUUAGCUGAAGUAAUCUUCAAUGGGGAUAGGAAAAAUGAGGUGUACAAUUGCCUGGUUGCACUCUUAUAGGAAAGGCAUAACCCUCCAUUUCCCUUUUAUCUUUUCCACUCACUAGAGUAGUGAUCUGGUCAUAAUUCAUUCUGGACCAUGUUGACAGGGCAAUAUACUGGAGAUUGUAGAGAAGAAGUCAGAAGGGACUUGGAUCCCUGAUACUAUGGAACUGUCUUGCAGCCCUAGUUUGCUUAUGUCUAGACUUUUACGUGAGAGAAAAAAUAAACAUUUCUUUGUUUUAACUACUGAUACUUAGAUCUUAGCUACAGCAACUGAACACACAGUGCUAUUUAAUAAUUUGCAAAUGUUAUACUGCCAGUUGAUAUUUUAUAACUACCAAAUUUAAGUGCAGUAAAUGGGCAUUAUGCUUGUUUAAAUGUCUGGCAAUCUUGGAAUUAUACCAUUACCAUCAUAUGUUGCAUGAGAUGGUUUUCCAUUCCAUUUAGAGUCCGUACAAUAACUCAUACAAUGUGUCACUGCUGCUGUCUCUUCUCAGCGGGCUUCAACCAUACUUAUUUCUUUGCCGUUCCUAAACAUUCCAGAUAUACUCUGUUCCUUCCUCAGGGUAAAUGUUGUUUUGUUGGUGGUGUGGUUUUUUUUUUUUAAUUCCUCUGCAGCAAAUCUCUGCCUAGCAUUCUGCAUGUAGUAUUCUGCUUCCACAAUUUUAGAAUUUUGCUCAGUUGUUAUCUUUUCAUUAAGUCCUUUCCUGAUGACGUCAAUAAAUUUCAUUCUCCACUGCCUGGAACUUGUAUAUCCUUUGCAUUUGUAGGUUUUCUCCAUGUUAUUUAUUUCCCUUUUAUUCCUUCUCAUUGAAAUAAAAGCUCUGUGGGAGUGG